AGACAAUAGAUACCCUGGUAGUCCACGCCCUAAACGAUGUCUACUAGUUGUUGGUGGAGUAAAAUCCAUGAGUAAACGCAGCUAACGCGUGAAGUAGACCGCCUGGGGAGUACGGUCGCAAGAUUAAAACUCAAAGGAAUUGACGGGGGCCCGCACAAGCGGUGGAUUAUGUGGAUUAAUUCGAUGCAACGCGAAAAACCUUACCUGGCCUUGACAUGCCACUAACGAAGCAGAGAUGCAUUAGGUGCCCGUAAGGGAAAGUGGACACAGGUGCUGCAUGGCUGUCGUCAGCUCGUGUCGUGAGGUGUUGGGUUAAGUCCCGCAACGAGCGCAACCCUUGCCAUUAAUUGCCAUCAUUUAGUUGGGCACUUUAAUGGGACUGCCGGUGACAAACCGGAGGAAGGUGGGGAUGACGUCAAGUCCUCAUGGCCCUUAUGGCCAGGGCUUCACACGUAAUACAAUGGUCGGUACAGAGAGUUGCCAACCCGCGAGGGGUAGCUAAUCUCAGAAAGCCGAUCGUAGUCCGGAUUGUUCUCUGC
rnacentral:rRNA from 1 species